rnacentral:rRNA from 1 species
GACGAACGCUGGCGGCACGCUUAACACAUGCAAGUCGAACGAGAGAGGAGAAGCUUGCUUUUCUGAUCUAGUGGCGGACGGGUGAGUAACACGUGAGCAAUCUGCCUUUCGGAGGGGGAUACCGAUUGGAAACGAUCGUUAAUACCGCAUAAUAUAAUUGAACCGCAUGAUUUGAUUAUCAAAGAUUUAUCGCUGAAAGAUGAGCUCGCGUCUGAUUAGCUAGUUGGUAAGGUAACGGCUUACCAAGGCGACGAUCAGUAGCCGGACUGAGAGGUUGAUCGGCCACAUUGGGACUGAGACACGGCCCAGACUCCUACGGGAGGCAGCAGUGGGGAAUAUUGCACAAUGGAGGAAACUCUGAUGCAGCGAUGCCGCGUGAGGGAAGAAGGUUUUAGGAUUGUAAACCUCUGUCUUCAGGGACGAAAAAAGACGGUACCUGAGGAGGAAGCUCCGGCUAACUACGUGCCAGCAGCCGCGGUAAUACGUAGGGAGCGAGCGUUGUCCGGAAUUACUGGGUGUAAAGGGAGCGUAGGCGGGAUCGCAAGUCAGAUGUGAAAACUAUGGGCUUAACCCAUAAACUGCAUUUGAAACUGUGGUUCUUGAGUGAAGUAGAGGUAAGCGGAAUUCCUAGUGUAGCGGUGAAAUGCGUAGAUAUUAGGAGGAACAUCAGUGGCGAAGGCGGCUUACUGGGCUUUAACUGACGCUGAGGCUCGAAAGCGUGGGGAGCAAACAGGAUUAGAUACCCUGGUAGUCCACGCCGUAAACGAUGAUUACUAGGUGUGGGGGGACUGACCCCUCCCGUGCCGCAGCAAACGCAAUAAGUAAUCCACCUGGGGAGUACGACCGCAAGGUUGAAACUCAAAGGAAUUGACGGGGGCCCGCACAAGCAGUGGAGUAUGUGGAUUAAUUCGAAGCAACGCGAAGAACCUUACCAGGUCUUGACAUCGUAUGCAUAGCUCAGAGAUGAGUGAAGUCUCUUCGGAGACAUAUAGACAGGUGGUGCAUGGUUGUCGUCAGCUCGUGUCGUGAGAUGUUGGGUUAAGUCCCGCAACGAGCGCAACCCUUACUGUUAGUUGCUACGCAAGAGCACUCUAGCAGGACUGCCGUUGACAAAACGGAGGAAGGUGGGGAUGACGUCAAAUCAUCAUGCCCCUUAUGACCUGGGCCUCACACGUACUACAAUGGCUGUCAACAGAGGGAAGCAAAGCCGCGAGGUGGAGCGAACCCCUAAAAGCAGUCUUAGUUCGGAUUGUAGGCUGCAACCCGCCUACAUGAAGUCGGAAUUGCUAGUAAUCGCAGAUCAGCAUGCUGCGGUGAAUACGUUCCCGGGCCU